CAUGGCCAGGGAAAGCAGAGAGUCUGGGAAUAAUGAACUAGGUUAGCACUAUGACCAAACAGAAGACCAGAUGGUCAUUCCAAGGUACCAAGGUGGAGAAUACUACUAGUAAUUAGUAGACUGGUCAUUGUGACGGAGCCUUGUGAUAAACACAAAUCCUUGAACAUCUCAGAACCAAGUAAGGUUCCAGGCUUGGGAGAGGAUGUGGCUACAUUGUUUGGAUUCCUUGGGAACCUUCCCUGAUAUCAUUUUAUUUUUUAUGCAUGAUUUCAGAGAAGGAGUCCAAGGAGAUCUUGAAUGCUACAACCAGAUCUGAUACUUCCCUAUCAUAACACAGCACUCCAUAAGAGACCAGUUAUUUUCCUUCCAUCUGGAUACCACUCUACAGAAAUCAAGAUGGAAAAUCAGUGUGACAAGAAUGAAACGAUGAAAUACUGAGAAGACUUCAGCUACAAGGGAAGAUUGGAAGUAAUGUAAUUGUACUCGCUGCUGGAGAAGGAUGCUUAAAAAUGGAUAUAAAUGAGAUUCAUCACUAUAUCUACUGCACCAUCCUCCUUUUGGCAGAGAGCUAGAAGACUAAGAAAAUGGAAGACUUUAUAUGCUGUGAAGAAACUGCAAAUGAGGAGACAUCAGAAAUGGGGCGACCUGAAGAGGACAAUCCUCACAGGUAGCAGGUUGAAGAAGAUGCAUCUCCACAUUUAAGAAAGUAUUAUGGAUUCUGGCUAACCUCCGCUAUAUGCCUCCUCACAGAUUGCCACUUCAUUUGGAAAUAUGUACUUAAUGUAUUCAUCCCAAACUAUGUAGUUCAGGUUAUGUUUUUAUGUUUUGAUAUUAAUUAACACAAUUUAGUUAGCUCCAGAGAAACCUCCUUUCCAAAAGUUGUUGUUAUUCAGUCAUUUCAGUCACAUCCUGACUCUUUUUAUCCCAUUUGGGGUUUUCUUGGGAAAGAUACUAGAGUAAUUUGUCAUUUCCUUCUCCAGUUCAUUUUCCAGCUGAGGAAACAGAGGCAAAUGGUAUAAAGUGUCUUGCCCAGGGUCACAGGUAAAAAAAGAGACUAAGGCUGGACUUGAACUCAGAUCUUCUUGACUCUCAGCUGUAAGUCCUAUCAACUUCACCAACUACUUGUCCUAACUAAGUAAAAAUUAAAAUCUUAUUUUCUUGUUUUAAAUAACUAUUUAAAUUGCUGGACAUAUUCAAAUUAUUAAUAG
rnacentral:lncRNA from 1 species